rnacentral:sRNA from 1 species
GAUGGGCGUGGUGACACAUGCCUGUAAUCCCAGCAGCUUCGGAGACUGAGGCAGGAGGAUUAUGAGUUCAAAGCCAGCCUUAGCAAUGGCAAGGCCCUAAGCAACUGAGUGAGACCCUGUCUCUA